GGGGUAUAGUGACACAGUAACAGAGGGAUCGAAGGCCUGCUCAGUGAGUUUACAUGCUAGAGGGAGUGGGGUAUAGUGACACAGUAACAGAGGGAUUGAGGACCCUGCUCAGUGAGUUUACAUGCUAGAGGGAGUGGGGUAUAGUGACACAGUAACAGAGGGAUUGAGGACCCUGCUCAGUGAGUUUACAUGUUAGAGGGAGUGGGGUAUAGUGACACAGUAACAGAGGGAUUGAGGGCCCUGCUCAGUGAGUUUACAUGUUAGAGGGAGUGGGGUAUAGUGACACAGUAACAGAGGGAUCGAGGGCCCUGCUCAGUGAGUUUACA